rnacentral:lncRNA from 1 species
GAGACUGAGCCGCACUCUGCAAUCUGAGAGGGAAGAAAAGGAAGCUGCGAGCUGAAUCUUCUCUGGUCUGUCCGUGAGCUUGAGGGAAGAAAGGGUGAGAGCAAAAGAUAAUCGUGUGAGCUUCAAUACUUCCUUUGCUAUCCGAGAGCUGCCAUCUCAUUCUUCAUUCUGUCCGUGCGUUGAUGGAGAGAUCUGAGAGCCAAACUUCAUCCAAUCCAGCCGCAAGUUGAGCAAGGGGGAGGAAGAUUUGCGGGCUGCAAUUUCUGGAUAGCCGAGAGGAAGAAAAUUUUGCAGCUGAUUGUCGUGUGAGCUAAGCCUUAAGCUGAGGUAAACUCUGGUCCUAGACUAGCUAAUUAGAGAUAAAUGAGAUUGUUUAAGAGCUUGCAUGUGAUGGUUAAGCACUUGGACGAUGAAAUCAAAGGAAAAGAAAUCUGGUUGGAGGAAAUGAUUUCUGCCGUGAGCUUGAGAUGAAAAAUGCAGUUGUAACCUGCUUAAUUUCGACAAUCUGAGCAUGAAGCCGUGUUUAGCUAAUUAAAACUUGGAUGUUUAAGCUGAUUAUAGCCUUGCAUGUUGAGUUUUGAUAGUCGGAUGAUGAAAUCAAUGCUUAGAAAAAUCUGUUUUGGUGGCAUAUGAUUUUUGUCGAGAAACUGGUUUGGAAAUGCAGCUCUAUUUCUGUUUUCCUGUGACAAUCGGAGCACCCAAGUGUAAUUAGCCGAGUGAAAACUUGAUGAUUAAGAUGUCUAGGACCUUGCAUGUUAAUUCUGUGUAGCUGAUUGAUGAAUUAAGGAGCUUAGGAAAUUCUGUUUCGAUGGAAAAUUUCUGCCGAGAGUUUGUCUUGAAUAAUGUAGUUUCAUUUGGUUUAAUCUUAUUGCUUUAAGCUUAUAACCAUAACUAACUAGAUAAUAACAAGAUAAUUGAGCCUUGCAUGUGGUUAAUUAAUGGGUUUAAACCAGAAAAAUAAAAUGAGAUAGAAAUCUGCUACAUGCAUGAUCAUCCGUGGCUUGUUGGAAGAUUUCUGGAAAUCUUGGAUGAUUUUCGUUGUUAAUCGAAUUUAAUUCUUGAGCUAGAAAUGUUAACAAAUUAGUUAAGUGAUGGCAUGUUAAAUUUGAGGCCUUAAUACUCUGCUUUAGCCAAGGAAAAAGUUGUAAUAAGAACAUACAAUUGCUGGAAAAUUUUGUGAACUGCCGUGAGGUUUGAACCUGGAAAUUUUGAGGUUUAUGACCAUUGUUUGAAUUUAAUUCCGAACUGGAAGUGUUAAUUGGUUAAGAUAAGUUAAUGCAUGACAAAUUUGAGAACCUAAAACCAUGUUUUAGUUGAGGAAAAGCUGAAUUGUGGAUUGAAACCGAGGGAAAUUUUCUGCUGCAAAAUAUUCCAGCUUGGUCGAGAGAAGGAAGUGAGCAUUAAUUAGUUUUGUUUUCGAAUUUCAAUUCAGAUUUUCGUAUUGGCUGUUUAAGAUUUGCUUGAGGCUUGCUAAUCACCUGUUGCAUGUUGAGCUGAGGUAAGAAUUGAAGAAAACUAGGAACAAAAGCUAUAUAAAUAAACUAUCAAUUGCUGGCAAAUUUUAUCUUAGCUAAUGACAGAUUUAUGGGGACUUUUUGGUGGAAUAAUUUAUUGGAAUUAAGAGUUAUUUGCUUUGGUAUAUGCUGGUAUGAAUAUCAUACUUAAAUGUAUGAUAGUUUGAAUAAGAGUCUUAUGGUUUUAAAAGAGGAAAAGGAGUUUUUCACAAGUGAAAAAUGAGUUUCCAGAUUUUCGGAUUUCUCUGACCAGUCUCAGUAAAAUGCUUAUAUCUUGGUGUAGGAAAAUCCGAUUGAUGUGCCGUCAGUGGCAUUUGAAACUAGAGUCAUGGGCCUUUGUUUUGUAGAAAUUUCAUAUUUUUCCUCCAUGUGUACUGCUAUCCGUGAUUCCUCAAAGUAGGCUGUCCUGUUUGAAUGUCCUGUUUCCUCAGGAAACUGAAUUCUUGACUUGGAUAGAAUAUUUGGCCCAUUUGAGAUUUGAAUCUCUGAAAAUUGUCUUCUGGGAUGUGAUAGUAUUAAAAAUCUAUUCUACAACAGUAUAAUUUUCAUAAUUGUUUGAUUUGUGGAACAUGAACUAAAGCAAUUUUUGAAGGAAAAUAUUUUUCCAGCAUGACCGAACUGGUUGGGACUUUUGGUGAGUUUAUUUGCUGGAUUUGUGUAUUAUUUACUUUAGCUUGGUUUGGACAGAUUAUAAUCUAUAUGUAUAGUGAUUCUAGCAAAUAAAAGUGGAAAGUUUAAUGGAUAUUUUAGAUUCUUGGAAUCAUUUGGAUCUCAAGUUGGUUAUAGUUUUUGUUCUUGUUUUGAAUGAAUUGGUAUUUGAAAGUGUGUAUCGGUUGUCAAGAGCUAAUGAUUGAUGAAGCCCUUGGCCAUUUGAAUGAAUUUAUAAGUAAUACUGGAUGAUGAAAGUUAAUUGCUGGAAUGUCUUGGAGGCCUUACUUUUAUUUUUAUUUGCUUAUGAUGGGCUUGCUGAAACCAAGUGCUAAUGAUUGAUGAAGCCUUGGUCGUUCAUUUUAUCUUUAUCAGAAAUGCAUUUGUUGAAAUCUAGGGCUAAUGAUUGAAGAAGCUCUAGUAAUUUGCUAUGUGAUUUUUGCCAUAUUUUGAUCCAUAAUAUGAUUUCGAAACGGAAUCGGAGCUGUGGAAGUUGUAUCGAUCUUGCGAACUCGAGUAACUGUGAUCAAAUUAAUCAAAAAUAUUUUUCCAGCUAGUAUUAGAUUAUAAAACUCAAUAUUUAGUGUUUUGACUAAAACUUUCCAACCCGAUAAUUUCCUUUAGCUCAAACUAGCCUUGAUAGCUGUAGUAAAUAAGUUCUAUAGCUUUUGAAAACCCUAAGUCUUACUUUAUUCCUUUUCUUUUCAUUAAAUAUUGCUAUUGGCUAGUUAACUAUAGGAAAAGUUCCAAAAUACGAGUUUUACUAAUUUUAGUGAAAAGCCUGGGAAACUUGUUCGGCAAGGAACCCUAUUUUAGGAAAAAUAGUUUCAGGAAUAAUUUUUGCAAAAGCCGUAACUUUAAAGAAAUGUUCAAAGUAACUUUCUAACAUUGAUAUUGAGAGGUUUGUUGACUUAUUCAAGAAAAUAAUACUAGUUACCCUUUUAUAAGGAAAAGUAUCUCAAGGAAAACUAUAGGAAACAUUUCUUCUACUUUUGUCAAGUUUCAACCUAAAGAGAUUCUUGAUUUUUCUAAGGGAAAGUGAACUAGUAGUAUAUUAGAUAUACCUCGAUAUGUAUAAGCUUAAAAACUGAGUAGAAACUUAUAGUUUCAAAUUUUGGUUUUUAGGAUAUAGCGAGGACGCAGACUUUGAUUCCCAGCUUGAUCAGUAACUUCAAUUUUGGUGAGUGUCCCUGCCUGUUCUAUGUUUACCUGCUUAAAGUACCUUCUUGACUUGAUGUGUGAUAAGUUGAAAAAUUGGUUUCUGAUCCAUCGAAGUGAGCUGUGUGUACUUUAUCGCACUAGCUGUUCGAGUGGUGAUUUGUGCAAAAACAUUUUUCUCCUGAAACCAUAAAUCUAAAUGUAGUUGCGUCGUUGGGUGAAUCCCUCGACUUCUGUAUCCAACUACCAUAAAUCUAAAUGUAAUUGCGUCGUUGGGUGAAUCCCUCGACUUCUGUAUCCAACUACCAUAAAUCUAAAAUGUAGUUGCGUCGUUGGGUGAAUCCCUCGACUUCUGUAUCCAACUACCAUAAAUCUAAAAUGUAGUUGCGUCGUUGGGUGAAUCCCACGACUUCUGUAUCCAACUACCAGGACGGGUAUAUCUCGAGUAUACUACGUCCUUAGUCGGUGAGCGGGCCCGGGACAGGGGUAUGAAUGGUGACGGGUUAGGUAUCAAAAUGAGACGCUCUACAUGGAUUAUAAGUAGUGAGAGUUGACGGAGUGUCAACUACGAUAAAUGGUGAUCAAGCGAGGAAAAUGGCUCCUGAGAGCCCACGUAUCCUACCUUGUGCUGUUAUACGCUUUCCUAACUAUUUAAAUUUGAUGAGUUAUUAUUCGCUGUUUGUUAUUAUGUGAUUGCAUGUUUUGGGGCACCACUGAGCUUUAGCUCACCCCACGUUUAUUGUUUUCCUUAACAGGUUCUGGAAACUGAAAGCUGGAUGCUUACUUGUGUUUUUCUUUUGCACUGUAUUUGAAUACUAUAACUUAUUCUGUGGGCUGUAAUGUGUUAUUUGGGAUAAUGUAUUUUCCUUUUUGGAUUGCCACCUGAAGCUGGAAAAUGUGUAAACCCUAAUUCGAUUACUUGGCUUGUAAGCUUGUAUUAUGGAUUUAUGUAUUUAUCUAUCGGGUUGUGUACGACUUAUACUUCGUUACGUAGCUCGUAGGUCGUUUAAGGGUCUUGAC